GAUGAACGCUGGCGGCGUGCCUAAUACAUGCAAGUCGAGCGAACAGAUGAGGAGCUUGCUCCUCUGACGUUAGCGGCGGACGGGUGAGUAACACGUGGAUAACCUACCUAUAAGACUGGGAUAACUUCGGGAAACCGGAGCUAAUACCGGAUAAUAUAUUGAACCGCAUGGUUCAAUAGUGAAAGACGGUUUUGCUGUCACUUAUAGAUGGAUCCGCGCCGCAUUAGCUAGUUGGUAAGGUAACGGCUUACCAAGGCAACGAUGCGUAGCCGACCUGAGAGGGUGAUCGGCCACACUGGUACUGAGACACGGUCCAGACUCCUACGGGAGGCAGCAGUAGGGAAUCUUCCGCAAUGGGCGAAAGCUUGACGGAGCAACGCCGCGUGAGUGAUGAAGGUCUUCGGAUCGUAAAACUCUGUUAUUAGGGAAGAACAAAUGUGUAAGUAACUAUGCACGUCUUGACGGUACCUAAUCAGAAAGCCACGGCUAACUACGUG
rnacentral:rRNA from 1 species